rnacentral:rRNA from 1 species
GGCGGGAGACGCGGAGGAUCUUACG